rnacentral:lncRNA from 1 species
GAUGAUCUCUCUAUCCUCUGAUCGAGUCAGAAGUACCGUGAGCUGGAUGGAUCCUCAACCAUGACAUUGUGUCUGAGAGCCGACGAUCGCUGCUACGUGCGACUAUGGGAUCACUGGUGACCCUUUGUCCUCCGAACAUGAGCAUAAAAUAUUUAAUACAAAGAAUGUUAUAUUAGUUAACAAAUGAUAAAAUAACAUAAGCAAGAAUAUAUAAAGUGUUAGAGCUUAUCGCUAGGUGUAAGAGAUGCAGAACCAUCGAGCUGGCCGCA